UACGAAGGGGGCUAGCGUUGUUCGGAAUUACUGGGCGUAAAGCGCGCGCAGGCGGUCUUCCAAGUCAGUGGUGAAAGCCCGGAGCUCAACUCCGGAACUGCCAUGGAAACUGUUGGACUUGAGUAUGAGAGAGGUGAGUGGAAUUCCCAGUGUAGAGGUGAAAUUCGUAGAUAUUGGGAAGAACACCGGUGGCGCAGGCGUCUCACUGGCUCAUUACUGACGCUCAGGCGCGACAGCGUGGGGAUCAAACAGG
rnacentral:rRNA from 1 species